AUUGAACGCUGGCGGCAUGCCUAACACAUGCAAGUCGAGCGGGGUUUUCGGACCUAGCGGCGGACGGGUGAGUAAUGCGUAGGAAGCUACCCGAUAGAGGGGGAUACCAGUUGGAAGCGACUGUUAAUACCGCAUAAUGUCUACGGACCAAAGUGUGGGACCUUCGGGCCACAUGCUAUCGGAUGUGCCUACGUGGGAUUAGCUAGUUGGUGAGGUAAUGGCUCACCAAGGCGACGAUCCCUAGCUGGUUUGAGAGGAUGAUCAGCCACACUGGAACUGAGACACGGUCCAGACUCCUACGGGAGGCAGCAGUGGGGAAUAUUGGACAAUGGGCGCAAGCCUGAUCCAGCCACGCCGCGUGUGUGAAGAAGGCCUUCGGGUUGUAAAGCACUUUCAGUAAGGAGGAAGCGUUGAGUGUUAAUAGUACUCAGCGUUGACGUUACUUACAGAAGAAGCACCGGCUAACUCUGUGCCAGCAGCCGCAGUAAAAC
rnacentral:rRNA from 1 species